UAAUAAAUAAUCGCUUAUUCACUGUUUUAGUGAGCUCAGGAGAACAGCUACCGUAGUGGACAGACAUUGUUCCUUUUCUAUGCGAGUCCUCUAAAACCACGUGCUACGCUUUUUACUGGGGAGAGGCUGGAAUGGAGAAUGAAGUGUUCGAUCUCCACAUCUCAGCACAGAGCACAGGCUCCUCAUUCCUUCUGAGGGCAAAGCCUUGGACAGGAAAAAUAAAUGUGAGGCAAAGUCUUUUCUUCCUGUUGAAGGACCAAUGCCAAAAGGAACGGAGCAUUUCCACUGAAGUGAAUGGAAGCUGCCGGAGGCAUGCACCAACCCGUAUACUACAGCUGAACUCCUGUUUCAUGAUCUAGUUAUAUGAAGAGAAAUCCUGACUUGUGUUAGAAAGGAGUAAUUCUCUGAGGAGAAAGAAAUGAGAUGCUUUCUUGGCAAAGAGGACCUAGGGCCUAUUUUGAGCCUUUACUUGUCAAGAAGAUAAAUUCAUGUCACUGAGAAGAGAUAUGAGUAUCAUCCAGCAGUCACAACUUUGUAAGUACAAAGACCUGAAAGAUGUCUUUUCCAAAGCAUGAUGAUGGAGUUGCUACUAUGGAAGGCGAAUAAAAAAUGA